GAAGCAACGCGAAGAACCUUACCUAAGCUUGACAUCCUUUUGACCGAUGCCUAAUCGUAUCUUUCCCUUCGGGGACAGAAGUGACAGGUGGUGCAUGGUUGUCGUCAGCUCGUGUCGUGAGAUGUUGGGUUAAGUCCCGCAACGAGCGCAACCCUUGCCUUUAGUUGCCAGCAUUAAGUUGGGCACUCUAGAGGGACUGCCAGGGAUAACCUGGAGGAAGGUGGGGAUGACGUCAAAUCAUCAUGCCCCUUAUGCUUAGGGCUACACACGUGCUACAAUGGGUGGUACAGAGGGCAGCCAAGUCGUGAGGCGGAGCUAAUCCCUUAAAGCCAUUCUCAGUUCGGAUUGUAGGCUGAAACUCGCCUACAUGAAGCUGGAGUUACUAGUAAUCGCAGAUCAGAAUGCUGCGGUGAAUGCGUUCCCGGGUCUUGUACACACCG
rnacentral:rRNA from 1 species